rnacentral:rRNA from 1 species
AACGAACGCUGGCGGCGUGGGUAAGACAUGCAAGUCGAACGGGACAGACCGAGUAGCAAUAUUUGGAAUGUUCAGUGGCGAACGGGUGCGUAACACGUGGAUAACAUUCCGGAAAGCGGGGAAUAGCCCAGGGAAACUUGGAUUAAUACCGCAUGUGGCCGCAAGGCUAAAGACGGGGACCGCAAGGCCUGUCACUUUCCGAUUGGUCCGCGGCCUAUCAGCUAGUUGGCGGGGUAAUGGCCCACCAAGGCUACGACGGGUAGCUGGUCUUAGAGGACGACCAGCCACACUGGAACUGAGACACGGUCCAGACACCUACGGGUGGCAGCAGUCGAGAAUCUUUCACAAUGGGGACAACCCUGAUGGAGCGACGCCGCGUGGAGGAUAAGGUCUUCGGAUUGUAAACUUCUGUCAUGCGAGAACAAGGUACUCAGGCUAAUAACCUGAUUGUUUGAUGGUACCGCAAGAGGAAGAGACGGCUAACUCUGUGCCAGCAGCCGCGGUAAAAC